AGGUCAAGUGAAGAAGGGCGCACGGUGAAUGCCUUGGCACUGGAAGCCGAUGAAGGACGCGACUAACCGCGAAAGUCUUCGGGGAGCCGUAAGUAGGCUUUGAUCCGGAGGUCUCCGAAUGGGGGAACCCAGCAUGUGCAGACAUGCUAUCCUUAAGUGAAUACAUAGCUUAAGGAGGGAACACGCAGUGAACUGAAACAUCUAAGUAGCUGCAGGAAGAGAAAGAAAUAUCGAUUUCCCAAGUAGCGGCGAGCGAACAGGAAAGAGCCCAAACCGGCAGAUUUAUCUGCCGGGGUUGUAGGACUGAGACAUGGCACUUCAGAGGAUAGCAGAAGCGUUUGGGAAAGCGCGCCAGAGAGGGUGAGAGCCCCGUAAGCGAAAUCCAAAGAAGGCCUAUCAGUAUCCUGAGUAGGGCGGGACACGUGAAAUCCCGUUUGAAUCCGCGAGGACCAUCUCGCAAGGCUAAAUACUAACCAGUGACCGAUAGUGAACCAGUACCGUGAGGGAAAGGUGAAAAGAACCCCGGGAGGGGAGUGAAAGAGAACCUGAAACCGUGUGCCUACAAGUAGUCAGAGCCCGUUAACGGGUAAUGGCGUGCCUUUUGUAGAAUGAACCGGCGAGUUGCGUUAGUCAGCAAGGUUAAGUCAGAAAAGACGGAGCCGUAGCGAAAGCGAGUCUGAAGAGGGCGAGCAGUUGGCUGACGCAGACCCGAAACCAAGUGACCUACCCAUGACCAGGUUGAAGGCGCGGUAAAACGCGCUGGAGGACCGAACCCACGUAAGUUGAAAAUUGCGGGGAUGAGUUGUGGGUAGCGGUGAAAUUCCAAACGAACUUGGAGAUAGCUGGUUCUCUCCGAAAUAGCUUUAGGGCUAGCCUCGCAAAGAGGAUGCUGGAGGUAGAGCUCUGUUUGGACUAGGGGCCCGUCAAGGGUUACUGAAUUCAGAUAAACUGCGAAUUCCAGACAUUUAUGUGCGGGAGUCAGACUGCGAGUGAUAAGAUCCGUAGUCGAAAGGGAAACAGCCCAGAUCACCAGUUAAGGUCCCAAAAUUCAUGCUAAGUGGAAAAGGAUGUGGAGUUGCGCAGACAACUAGGACGUUGGCUCAGAAGCAGCCAUCAUUCAAAGAGUGCGUAAUAGCUCACUAGUCGAGUGACGCCGCGCCGAAAAUUUACCGGGGCUAAGCAUGAUACCGAAACUGUGGAUGUGCGCUUAUGCACGUGGUAGGAGAGCGUUCUAGCGGCGGUGAAGCAUGACCGAGAGGACAUGUGGAGCUUCUAGAAGUGAGAAUGCCGGUAUGAGUAACGAAAGACAGGUGAGAAUCCUGUCCGCCG
rnacentral:rRNA from 1 species